UAUAAACUAUAUCAAAUUUAAAAAAUAAAUUUAUUAUUUAAAUAAAAAAAUUUAAAUAAUUUUUAAAGACGAGAAGACCCUAAAGAAUUUUAAUAAUAAAUUAUAAUAUAAAUUUAAAAUUUAUUAUAUUAAUUGGGGAAAUUUUAAAAUUUAAAAAAUUUUUAAUUAAAUAAACAUAAAUUUUUGAAUAUUUAAAAUUUUUUUAAAAAAUGAAAUUAAAUUACCUUAGGGAUAACAGCAUAAUUUUUUUAAAAAGUUCAAAUUUAUAAAAAAGUUUAUGACCUCGAUGUUGAAUUAAGAUUAAAUUUAAUAGAAAAUUAUU
rnacentral:rRNA from 1 species